UCAGGACGAACGCUGGCGGCGUGCCUAAUACAUGCAAGUCGAACGGAGAUAUUCGCUGAUGAAGUACUUCGGUAAUGAAUCUUGGAUAUCUUAGUGGCGGACGGGUGAGUAACGCGUGAGCAGCCUGCCUUUCAGAGGGGGAUAACGUUUGGAAACGAACGCUAAUACCGCAUGACAUUAUCUUAUCGCAUGGUAGGAUAAUCAAAGGAGCAAUCCGCUGAAAGAUGGGCUCGCGUCCGAUUAGGUAGUUGGUGGGGUAACGGCCCACCAAGCCGACGAUCGGUAGCCGGACUGAGAGGUUGGACGGCCACAUUGGGACUGAGACACGGCCCAAACUCCUACGGGAGGCAGCAGUGGGGAAUAAUGCACAAUGGGGGGAACCCUGAUGCAGCGACGCCGCGUGGGUGAAGGAGUAUUUCGGUAUGUAAAGCCCUAUCAGCAGGGAAGAACAAUGACGGUACCUGACUAAGAAGCACCGGCUAAAUACGUGCCAGCAGCCGCGGUAAUACGUAUGGUGCAAGCGUUAUCCGGAUUUACUGGGUGUAAAGGG
rnacentral:rRNA from 1 species